CAAGGCAGCCAUAAGAGUGCAGCACUUGUAGGGUUAGUGAACCUCCAUAACCUAAGGAGGAACUUUGGCACCGAUUCAUCCACCAACACAGGGAGCUCCUCAUGAUAUAGAACCAGAAAGAUAAAAUAUAAUGAAGAAGCGCAGGGUUGCUCCAACCACCUAUUCAGCAUCGAGAUCCGCCAAGAAACAACCUGAAGAAAAGAUUGAGAAGGAGCCUGUGGAUGAUGAUGAGGAAACUGGCUUUUCUCAUUGGCUCAAGACAGGGCAAGGUGUUGAGUUUAUGAAGUACUUUGUCAUUCUAAACUCUCUGGGGGUUUUCCUGACUUUGGGCUGGCCUUCCAUCUCCAAGAGCUAUCACAUCUUGAGAUCUUUAUUUUUUGAGGAAGAGGACUACUAGGAUACACAAUGGCUGUGGGAAGUGCUGUCACGAGCUUCUUCGUCCUAGUCGUAGUUCUGCUGUACAGUGCCAUGGUAUGGAGAAGUCUCGACCAAUACUUUAGAGAUGAGUUCAAAAAGCACCUCCAACAAGACAAAAACUAUCAGAAGAUGCAACAAGAGAAAUUGGAAAUGUUGAAAGAAAUGGAUUCUAUGGAGGAGAAAACAAAGUUUGAUGAGGGUUUUGUGCCUGACCAAAAAGAGGGGUGUAGCAGGGAGAAAAUGCCUGCAGACAAAUAUAAAAAUCAAGAAAACACUGAAGAUUACGUGGAUGAUGGUGAAAUGUGCCCUUUUGUGCUUCCUUUGAGUGUAAACGAUGAUGAUAAAGGGUGAAGUACAAUAAUCGUGUUAGAACUUAAAAUCUCAUAAAGUGCUAGAUUAGUUCUCCAUAAUCGAUUGUCCCUGUUCCACCAUGUGUAGUUUUGAAAAUUGUAAAUGUGUUUACAACCUGUAAAUGUUACCGUUAAGAUACUGUUUAUGAAUUAAAUGUUGAAUUUGGUUUUCCACAAAAGUUUACGUAAACCUUGAAACCAUCCACUAACUUUCUGGCUUCAAUUUAUUAU